AACGAACGCUUGCUGCAUGCUUUAUACAUGCAAGUCGAACGAAGGCCCUAGCUUGCUAGGUGUCCUUAGUGGCGCACGGGUGAGUAACACGUGGGAACAUACCUCAUAGUACGGAAUAACUGCGGGAAACUGUAGCUAAUACCGUAUAUUCCAGAAAUGGGAAAGAUUUAUCGCUAUGAGAUUGGCCCGCGCAAGAUUAGCUUGUUGGUAAGGUAAUGGCUUACCAAGGCUCCGAUCUUUAGCUGGUUUGAGAGGAUGAUCAGCCACACUGGGACUGAGACACGGCCCAGACUCCUACGGGAGGCAGCAGUAGGGAAUAUUGGACAAUGGGGGAAACCCUGAUCCAGCAAUGCAGCGUGAGUGACGAAGGCCUUAGGGUUGUAAAACUCUUUCAUCGGUGAGGAUAAUGACAGUAGCCGAAGAAGAAGGACCGGCUAAUUCCGUGCCAGCAGCCGCGGUAAUACGGAAGGUCCUAGCGUUGUUCGGAAUUACUGGGCGUAAAGCGCAUGUAGGCGGAACAAAAAGUUAGAAGUGAAAUCCCUGGGCUCAACCUAGGAAUGGCUUUUAAAACUUUUGUUCUGGAAUUCAGGAGAGGAAAAUGGAAUUUCCAGUGUAGAGGUGAAAUUCGUAGAUAUUGGAAGGAACACCAGUGGCGAAGGCGAUUUUCUGGACUGAUAUUGACGCUGAGAUGCGAAGGCAUGGGUAGCAAACGGGAUUAGAUACCCCGGUAGUCCAUGCAGUAAACGAUGGGUGCUAGUCGUCGGACUUUUGUUCGGUGUCGUAGCUAACGCGUUAAGCACCCCGCCUGGGGGAGUACGGUCGCAAGAUUAAAACUCAAAUAAAUUGACGGGGACCCGCACAAGCAGUGGAAGCAUGUGGGUUUAAUUCGACGCAACGCGAAGAACCUUACCAGCGUUUGACAUGG
rnacentral:rRNA from 1 species